rnacentral:rRNA from 1 species
AUUUUGAAUGCAAAUGGCAUGCUGGAUCUAAACCCAGCAUAUGUCUGGUUGAGUGUC